CACCCAUAAUAAAAUCGUGAAUGACACCUCUAUGUUCAAUUGAACUGCAUCCCUGGUCCUUUUGAACUCCUCUUUUCUUCAUCAUUUCUCUCACUUCCGAAAUUUUGUUCCACUUACCUGUUGCAGCAUACAUGUUUGAGAGAACAACAUAACUUCCAAUAGCUCCUUUUUUUUUUUUUGGAAAUAACGUCCAAUAGCUCAUGAUGCUGAUAUAACCCACAGAAUGCUGAAAAAAUUAUCUUGUCAUGCUUAGGUGCAAUGGAUGUUAGUUUAUGCAAAGAAACCCAGUUGUCCACAGUUUUCUCAUGGUUAUAUAUGAUGGGGAAUAGUUAAAUUUUAAGAUUUGCAGUUAUUGGAAAUAUUAUUAUAUAUUUUAAAUGUGGAAACCAUUUGAUUGUAGAAAGAUUUGUGCUAAAAUAAAAUGAAUUUCCCAUUUGAUUGUACAAAAAUUUGGACUAUAAUAAAAUGAAUUUCAUAAUGGAAAGCAGGCCAUACACAGAGAUGACUUUUAUUGAGUCUCUUUUCUGUCUUGUUAAACUUAUGUAUCUGGUCCACAGUAAUGCAAGCGAUGCCUUGGAGAAAGUGUUACAGAUCCUGCACUAUGAAGGAUGCUGUUAAUCUUGAUAUCCAAAUCCAAGUUGAUAAAGAUAAUGGGAUUGUUUUUAUCAUUGACAUGGCAAUGGAAUGACUCGGCAAGAUCUGGUUGACUGUCUUGGAACUAUUGCACAAAGUGGCGCUGCUAAGUUUUUGAAGGCAAUAAAGGUAAAAGACUUUUCAAGCUGUAUUUCAGUCAUGGGUUUAUUCGUAUUCAGAUGAUGAACUAAAUAACUCAUUAGUCCACAGGAAAGCAAGGGUGCUGGUGCUGACAGUAAUUUAAUUGGUCAGUUUGGUGUGGGCUUUCCUUUUUUCUGAUAGGUUAUUUCCUAGAAACCAAGGUCUAAUAAAGUAUGUAUGGGAAGGAGAAGCUAAUGCUUGCUCUUACACUAUUUUUUGAGAGGAAACAGACCCAGAGAAGCUCAUUCCUAUAGGAACGCACCUUACCGUGUAUCUUAAGAAAAUGAUCUCCUCCUACUUUCAGUGUGAUGACAAGGGCUUGGCACAUCCAGAGCGGAUUUCGAAGCUAGUGAAAAUUCGCAGUUUAUCUCCUUCCCAAUAUACAGUGAGCAAGGAAAGGGAUAUACUAAAGAGGUAUGGCCACUAGAGCCAGUUAAAUACUGGAUUUGAAGUGUCUUUGUAAAUUGCUUUUACAUUGGCCAUGAUGCAUAAUCUUUGCGCACAUUGAGAUUGAUGAGGAUCCACCUGAAGCCAAAAAGGAUGGUGAAGAGGAGAAAACUGAGAAUAAGAAGAAAAAAAAACUGUUGUCAAGAGAUACUGGGACUGAGAACUCACUAACGAGACCCAGCCCAUUUGGCUUCUCAGCCCCAAGGACGUGACAACAGAGGAGUAUAAUGAAUUUUACAAGAAAACCUUCAAUGAAUAUUUGGAUCCAUUGCUUCACAACAGAGGUGGAGUUUAGGUGUGUACUUUAUGUGCCAGCUAUAACUCCUAUGCGGAAGGAUGAUAUAAUCAAUCUGAAGACAAAAAAAUAUAAGGCUUUAUGUGGAAAGGGUUUUCAUUUCAGAUGAUUUCUGAUGAUCUUGUGUUCGAGCCGCAGUUGUUGCAAACAGUUUCCUCGGUAUCUAAGCUUCAUACUCGAAUGAUCUUCCACUCAGUGUUUCAUGGAGAUUCUUAAGGAAACCCGCAUCAAGGUUUGUAGUAUGAGGAAACGUUUGGUUCGAAAGGCUUUUGACAUGAUUCCCAGAAUGUCCCUAGUGACAACCUUGCUUUCUACAUUACUCAAGAUUAUGAGAAAUUCUUGGAGAACUAUGGCAAAUAUUUGAAA